rnacentral:lncRNA from 1 species
AUGUUUUUCAAAAACACUAAAAACCCCCAAAUUUCAAUUCUAAGCUUGGGUUCUUGCAUGAAAGUAUUUCAAAUGAUGUUUUAUGUUAAUAUUGAUGGUUUUAAGGUCAAAAACUCCAUGAACCCUUGCAUAUCUUGAAACCCUAAUUUUGGGUCUAAAGUGGGUCUAUUGAUUAUGAGCUAAUAAUGUGAUAUUAAUGUGUAGAUUGUUAUGGGCUAUUGAUUUAUGUAUUGU